ensembl:lncRNA
CACGUUUCUGCGAGUGUGGACUUCUGUUUCACUAUAUGUCCCCACACACACACACACACACCCAACCCCUCUCCUCUAAUCGCCUUAUGCUUUCACUUUUCCUCCCAGGAAGUGAUUUACUGUCAAACACAUUCCAACAGCCAGCCAGCUACAGACACUGAGCUAUCCCAACACACCGGGGCUUUUUGGAUUUCCACAUCUUUUCUUCGCUUCCACAUGUCCUCACUCACUCUUUUCUUCGUCCCCUCUUUGUCCCGACGUGUUUUUCCUCCUCUUCCCUCCUGCCUCUGCAUCCGAGUUGGAAACAUCCUGCAUAUCGACAAAGACACAGCUGGUGUGGGUCUGCACGCGGCCCGGCUGAUCCAGCUUUAUUUCUGCCCCUCUCCUCGUGACGCAGCCGAGCUCUGGAGCAGAUGGCUGCAGUGUUCAAUUGAAUUCUGCCAUUGUGCCGCUCGUAAUUGGUGCUCGCGAGCAAGUGCC